AAAGGAAUUGACGGGGACCCGCACAAGCGGUGGAGCAUGUGGUUUAAUUCGAAGCAACGCGAAGAACCUUACCUACCCUUGACAUCCCUCUGCCCGGUCAGUAAUGUGACCUUUUCUACGGAACAGAGGAGACAGGUGGUGCAUGGUUGUCGUCAGCUCGUGUCGUGAGAUGUUGGGUUAAGUCCCGCAACGAGCGCAACCCUUAUCUUUAGUAGCCAGCAGUAAGAUGGGCACUCUAGAGAGACUGCCAGGGAUAACCUGGAGGAAGGUGGGGAUGACGUCAAAUCAUCAUGCCCCUUAUGGGUAGGGCUACACACGUGCUACAAUGGCGUAAACAAAGGGAAGCAAGAGGGUGACCUGGAGCAAAUCCCAAAAAUAACGUCUCAGUUCGGAUUGUAGUCUGCAACUCGACUACAUGAAGCUGGAAUCGCUAGUAAUCGCGAAUCAGAAUGUCGCGGUGAAUACGUUCCCGGGUCUUGUACACACCGCCCGU
rnacentral:rRNA from 1 species